ensembl:misc_RNA Metazoa_SRP Metazoan signal recognition particle RNA
GCUGGGUGUGGUGGUGCGUGCCUGUAAUCCCAGCUACUUGGGAGGCUGAGGCAGGAGAAUCACUUGACCCCAGGAGGCAGAGGUUGCAGUGAGCCAAGAUCAUCCCACUGUACUCUGGCCUGGGAGACAGAGUGAGACUCUGUCUCAA